GUUGGGGUGUGGCUCAGUGGUAGAGCCCAUGCUCAGCACGUGCAAGUCCUGUGUUCAAAUUCCAGUGCCAAUA
rnacentral:tRNA from 1 species